GCGCCCGUAGCUCAACUGGAUAGAGUACCAGGUUUCGGCCCUGGGGGUUGGGGGUUCGAACCCUCCCGGGCGUACAA
rnacentral:tRNA from 3 species